UUCUCUCCUUAUCGUUCUCCCGAGAUCCGCCCGUGGCCACCCGACGACGCCCCUUUCCCCUCCCCUUUCAGCCACGUCGUCUCCUGAGCCGCCACCCGAUUCAGCCAUGUCGUUCGCGCCGCCACCCGGCAUCUCCUCCUCGCAAAUCGUCCCCCGAUCCAGCCAUGUCGUCCGCGCCGCCCGCCCAGCAAUCGAAGCCCUCCUACCACCGCCGCCAUCCCAACUCCGGGCCGAGGCAGCAGCAGCGCUACAUCCCCAAAUCCGCCGCCCCUCCCGCUCCUAAACCCUCGCCCCCACCAUCGCUCACCACCGCCCUCCGAUCGUCGGCCGCCCCGUCCGCAUCUGGCGCCGGCGGCAGCAGUAGCGCCGAUGGGUUCGUGGCUUACCUGCCGCACGACGAGGCAGUCGCGGCCGGGCUCGGCGGCCUCGACGCCCAGGAGUCGCAGGUCGUCGUCGACCUCCUCAAAGACGCGCUCGCGUCGCUCCUCCGUACCAAGCCUCGCGAGUUCUGGCGCCAGGGUAACCGCAGAACUCCUAUUUUACAUUAGUUGAAAACCAGAAACCUUAGUUCUCAGAUUGGGACCCUGAGUAGAUAAUAACCUGGGAGCUUGACCUGUUAAUUUUCGGGUUGCUUGUUUGAUUUAGCAGAAUUGCUCGAAUACAUUUAUAGUGCAAAUUCUUAUUCAUACUUUUGUUGUUUGUGUAAUUUGCUAAAGCUAUGCUCUAGCGGAUAUCGACUCGUUCAGGUGGGUUUGAUCAGUAAAGAUGACCAAGUGCUUCAUAGUUGGGAUUUAAAGACGUUUCUUAUCUCAUUAGUAGUGUAUAGUUUACCUUCCAUAACCUAGAAUGUAUUACGUUGUAUAAGGUGUCUUAGAUUGAGGAUUAGUUCAUGCUUGAACUCAUACCUAGUUUAUAUACAGGCCGGAUCUCCACGCCAGGGCAGUCACAGAGGCGGCGCCGGUCGGGCAUUUGCCGCGAUGCGGAGCCCGUCGAGCUCGUGCAGGCGGUAUGACAUCGUGGGGCGGCUGCACGAUUUUGGGGAUAACAGCAGCGUCAUCCAGCAACGAGAUAUUCUGCAUAUCUUGUCCCAGAUAAGUAGAGUAGUAUCUUACUUGUACUAUUUUUGUGUGCAAUGAAUUGAGCUCCUGACUUAAUUAUAGGAUGCGGAAUCUGGCUAUUAUGUUUCAUACUACCUGUGCUUAAUUUGGGCUUGUAUGUUUAUCUUGUCUGGUUUGGUUGCGGCAGGCCUCUUUUUUAGAAGCAUGCCGUCUGAUGUUUGGCAGACCGGCGGUUCUGUAGAUGCUAAUGGUAGAAUAACAGAAAAUCAGCUUAUGAAGAGAUGGGGCAGUGAGACUAAUUAAUCACUAACCAUAGCAUCGAGGUUUGCGGAGAGGGCGAGGGUGGCUGUGAAUCCGAUAGGGAGGAGGCUGUUCGAGGUUAUGGAGGCCAAGCACAACAACCUGUGUGUUGCUGCGGAUGUUCAGACAGCAAAACAACUGCUUGAGCUCGCCAACAAGGGAGCUCGGCUUCGGAGUCCGAGCACGCAGGAGGAGGAGCUGGCUGGUGGCGAUUCAGCGAGUAGGCUGGCCGGCAGCGGAGAAGCGAGAAGCCUGGUGAACUUGUAUCUAUUUGUGUAAUAUUUGCUAGUUGGAGAUGAAGUUUGAACCAUAUGGUCGACUUUCUACACUUGUGUUAUUGAUGCAUGCAUGUUAUGAACAUUUGGUUACUUUCUAUAUCUGUUGUGUUACUGA